GGUGAAAACUGUGGAUGAGGACAUUGACUGGAAGCAACUGGCAACUCAGAAAGAAGAAAAAGAAGAAGAUGACAACGAGGCACCUGUGAUGUGUAAAACCAUGCUUUUUUAAAGUCUCACUACAAACAGUAAUUAAAGUAGUGAAAAUCCUACUGAGUAUGCACACCAAGUGCUUUUGUAACACUUUCACAGCCAACGUAAAUACUGAUUUACAGUCUGGUCUUUACUGAUCACUAUUUAAAAAGUACUUUGGUUCUGGAAAAUGGAUUUUAUGCAUGGCUAUGCAUGCAGCAGCAUUACAUGUCUACUCCUUUUGGAAAUCCUCCUCUUUUAGAUUGCAGAAGUGAUAGAUGAACGCCCAGAUGAGAUCAAGCAGCUCGAGGCAUUCGGUACAGGCAGGUGGAUAGUGAUCGCAGAGAAACCCAGGAUUCUGCAUUAGAUAAAAGGUAUAAAGAAACUCUCCUUCCUCUUUAGUUCUAAUUCUUUUUUUAAUUAUUACUGCAUAAAGAGUGUAAAAAAUAUUCCUUUUUAACUCUGACCCUGACAGAGGUCAUAGAGUGCGGCAUGAGUCACCUGAGACUUCUCCUGUACAGAGGGUGCGGCACGUUUCCCCUGACCUCUCACCCCAGAGAAGAGGUCGUCAUGACUCACCAGAUCUCUCACCUCAAAGACACAGUGCCGAGAACAAAAACAGACGGCAUGAUUCCUUAUCACCUUCCCCUCCAAGAAAGAGUCACAAGAGCUCACCCUCCAGAACUCAAAGGCCGCAUGAUAAAGAGUGUCCACACAGAAGAAAGACAAUUGCUGGCUCUUCAGAUGACUUUCACCGACCAGAAGACGAGUACGAAAAGGCAAAUGCUCAGACUCCGAUCAGUCCCCACCACGCAGACGUCCUCAUGGACGACGGGGCUCAAACUCGGAUCUAUCUCCACCCGGAAAGAGAGGCCAGAGUAG
rnacentral:lncRNA from 12 species